UUUUUGUAAAAUGGAGAAAUAAAAUAUUAUUAUUAAAAUAUUAAAAAUAUUAUUCCUUGUGGAAAAUAUAUUGAAUACUUCCAUAUCUUGAGCUAGUGUACCAUAUGUACAUAUGAAUAGAACAUUCGUGCAAAAUUAUUUAAUAUUAAAAUAGUAUUAUUUAAGUGUUUGCCGAACCUAUCCUUUGAUAUCGACUCCUUCCGCUGACAGAAUGAGAGUCAUUCGGCUUGCGCAUACUACAUAUCAAUCCUAUUAUUCCACGUGGAAAAUAAUCAUGAUGCAGAUAUACCCACUUCAUAGGCAUGCUGGAGGGUUUGUAAGCCUCGCUAACGACAAUGCCUCCAUGAAAGUACUACCUCUCAUUGAGAUCAGAGCAUCAUGGUUAUUUUCCACGUGGAAUAAUAGGAUUGAUAUGUAGUAUGCGCAAGCCGAAUGACUCUCAUUCUAUCAGCGGAGGGAGUCCAUAUCAAAGGAUAGGUUAGGCAAACACUUAAAUAAUACUAUUUUAAUAUCAAAUUAUUUUGCAUGAUUAUUCUAUGUAUAUGUAUAUAUGGAAAACUAGCAGCUUCAGAUAUGGAAAUAGCCAACGUUCCACAUUGGAGCACCAGACUCAUCCGCGAGUCCAUCGAAAUAGAGAAGAACGGUACCUUCAACAAGAGAGAUGACGCCCUGCACUUGUCAGCCACUUGGAAAACGGUCCUACACCGUCCCCGAUCCGGAGCAGCCUUCCUGAGGGAGGGGAUUUUGGGCAGACCAUAGAGUUUGGGGCACCUGCUUGAUUUUUCCCGAGGGAUUAAGGUUUUCUUGAUCUCGGGGCCUAUUGGAGAUGCCUCUAUUAUCGAUUUGGUGGUUUUUUUCCAGCUCGACCUCUAGCUCUUCCAGGGAUGCGUUCUUCUUCCGAAAGGUUUUCUUCUUAGAAGAAACAACAUAUGCUUGUAUAAAGCUAGAUCUACACGAUACGCGAACUGGUUCGCCACUUCAUUGAAGUAUCUCUAGCCAAGUACCCCUACCUCAAGUACCUCUAUCUCUAUCUCAAGUACCUCUAUCACUACCUCAAGUAUCUCUAUCUGAAGUACCUCUACCUCAAGUACUAUAAUAAAUGUUUCAAUAUUUUAUUUAGGAUGGACUUUAAUGGAAAUCCUCUACUCUCCGCUCAAGCUCGACCUUUUAAUAUAUUUUGUUUCCGUGCCUUUUAACCCCUUGUCUAAUUACUAUAUUAUUUCAAAAUAUUAAUAAAAGAUAAAGCUUGUUUACAAUUAAA